rnacentral:rRNA from 1 species
CCUACGGGGGGCAGCAGUGGGGAAUUUUGCGCAAUGCUCGUAAGAGUGACGCCGCGACGCCGCGUGAAUGACGAAGGCCUUCGGGUCGUACAGUUCUUUCGACAGGGAAGAAAAUGCAUAUAAGUAACUGUGUAUGUAUUGACGGUACCUGUAUAAGCAGCCCCGGCUAACUCCGUGCCAGCAGCCGCGGUAAUACGGAGGGUGCGAGCGUUGUUCGGAGUGACUGGGCGUAAAGAGCACGUAGGCGGUGGUGUAAGUCAUUAGGCAAAGACUAGAGCUGAACUUUAGUAAGGAUAGUGAUACUAUAAUACUAGAGUAUCAGAGAGGAUUGCAGAAUUCCUGGUGUAGCGGUGAAAUGAGUAGAUAUCAGGAGGAAUACCGUUAGCGAAGGCGGCAAUCUGGCUGGAAACUGACGCUGAGGUGCGAAAGCGUGGGUAGCAAACAGGAGUAGAUACCCUUGUAGUC